rnacentral:rRNA from 1 species
UACGUAGGGUGCAAGCGUUGUCCGGAAUCAUUGGGCGUAAAGCGCGCGUAGGUGGCUUCGUAAGUCCGUUGUGAAAGUCAAAGGCUCAACCUUUGAAAGCCGAUGGAUACUGCGGAGCUAGAGUACGGAAGAGGCGAGUGGAAUUCCUGGUGUAGCGGUGAAAUGCGCAGAUAUCAGGAAGAACACCCGUGGCUAAGGCGGCUCUCUAGUACGUGACUGACGCUGAGACGCGAAAGCGUGGGGAGCGAACAGG